UUUUUAGAUUUCACGAGUCACGAAAAACAAAAUUUCAUUUUCACGAAUUUUAGAAACACAGAAGCGCAACAAAGUCUGAAACCAUUUAACGAUUUUCGAGACAGCAGAAAUCGUUGUUAACACAAACACAUUUUACUGACUUUAACAUUAGAGCUUUUAAAAGACUAUGGAAAUCAUUGCGAGGCAUUACGAAACAUUACGAGCGUCUUACGACGUCUACGAAGAGGUACGAAGGUAUAAGACAACAACGUUUACGAUGAAACGAAGAAACCUCAAGAAAG